AUUUAUAUAGUUUAAAAAAAACAUUAUAUUUUCAAUAUAAAGAAAAAUAAAAUUUUGUAAAUA
rnacentral:tRNA from 1 species